GGAUUUGUGGAAAUAUAAUGAGGUGCUCUCAAGAGUAGUAGUUCUAUUGGUAAAAUAAUAAUACAAAAAAAAAAAGAAACGUGAUAUGAUUGCCAAUGAACCGAUUAUCUCCCAAAGUCAAAAUGUAGGGGAAAUAGAAAAAAGUAAGAUAAGAAAAAUAGCGUACUCCGAGAAAAAUUCUAAACGUAAAGUCCCUAACCAAAAAGCAAAAUCAAAAGCUCAAACACGUUAAACAAUUGGAUAACAACUGUCAUAUUCCUGACUUGGUACAAGCAUGUUAUUAUCAG
rnacentral:lncRNA from 1 species